AUCAGAAUGUUUUACAAGUGUGGAAACUGAAGUCCACAAAGUAGUGUGACUUGACAUGAAAUCUGCACUUGAAAGCCAAGCUAAUAAAACUGCGGGUUCCCAUAAUAGUCUUCUAUCAUCAGGUUCAGCUGUGCGUCAAUACGUAUAAAAGCAUGCUCUUCAUUGCCGACUGCUCCAAUUAUUCAUGCGCACCUAUAAGAAAAAUAUGACCUCAUGGAAAGACCAUGGGACUGAGGGUCAGGAGACCUAGGUACCAAGUCCCUUCUCUGAUAUGCCUGUUUCCAUUACGCAUUUUGGAUUGAACACAAGGCCUUAUUAUCGAUUGUCCUUUUGAUGACAUACAACUGUCUGGCUGGAAUGUAAGGCAAUUUCCAAAGGAAGAGUUCGGAACACGGCCCCUACUUUGGUCCUUUGACAGAGUAAUUUGAGUAAAAUUGCAAGGAUCUUACUCUAUGUGCAUAUACACGAAGGAUUUCCCGGUCAGUGAUGAUUCCCAAUACUAACCAGCAGGCAGAGGUCCCAGAUGGGGUUCACUUAGCUUUAGUUGCACUUAAUAAGACCCAUACUUUAGGGAGGUACAGGCUUCCCCAUCCAACAGGCAGCCAUGGUCUAUGACCGCAAGCUCUGCAAUCCAGCAGUCAGUGUCCUGCAAAAGUGACAAGCAACAAGGCCUAGA